rnacentral:rRNA from 1 species
AUGAACGCUGGCGGCGUGCCUAAUACAUGCAAGUCGAGCGAACGGACGAGAAGCUUGCUUCUCUGAUGUUAGCGGCGGAUGGGUGAGUAACACGUGGAUAACCUACCUAUAAGACUGGGAUAACUUCGGGAAACCGGAGCUAAUACCGGAUGAUAUUUUGAACCGCAUGGUUCAAAAGUGAAAGACGGUCUUGCUGUCACUUAUAGAUGGAUCCGCGCUGCAUUAGCUAGUUGGUAAGGUAACGGCUUACCAAGGCAACGAUGCAUAGCCGACCUGAGAGGGUGAUCGGCCACACUGGAACUGAGACACGGUCCAGACUCCUACGGGAGGCAGCAGUAGGGAAUCUUCCGCAAUGGGCGAAAGCCUGACGGAGCAACGCCGCGUGAGUGAUGAAGGUCUUCGGAUCGUAAAACUCUGUUAUUAGGGAAGAACAUAUGUGUAAGUAACUGUGCACAUCUUGACGGUACCUAAUCAGAAAGCCACGGCUAACUACGUG